rnacentral:rRNA from 1 species
UACGUAGGGGGCAAGCGUUGUCCGGAUUUAUUGGGCGUAAAGAGCGUGUAGGCGGUUUUGGUAGGUCCGUUGUGAAAACUCGAGGCUCAACCUCGAGACGCCGAUGGAAACCAUCAGACUAGAGUCCGGAAGAGGAGAGUGGAAUUCCUGGUGUAGCGGUGGAAUGCGCAGAUAUCAGGAGGAACACCGAUGGCGAAGGCAGAUCUCUGGGCCGUAACUGACGCUGAGGAGCGAAAGCAUGGGGAGCGAACAGG